AAUAAAUAAAAAUCUUAUAAAAGACUUGCAUACCAAUGUUUCCACAGAGCCAAUUGGUAUCUUAGCGCACUGAAAGAGGGAUGUGAAAACAUUACAAUAAGACUGUUCAAUGAGCUGCCUAAACGACACAUGAACUUGUAUAUCAGAUUUCUCAACAGAGCCUGGAAUGUUCUGACAUGUGCGUUACAAAACAUCUCACUUGCACUGCUAAGCCUGGAUUUCUUAAGCAGAAUUCUCAAAGAGUCUUUAUACACAACCUUAAGCUUCUGCAUGCUAGCUUUUUUAAAUUUACACCACAAAGGAGCUGUAUACAAGGGUGCACAGUAAGCUUUAAACAGGCUUAUUUUUACCUCAUCAGUGCACAUAUGAAAUUUCCUCCCCAGAAUGUUUGCCUGAAUGUACAACAUGCGACACUGCCGACAAAUAUCAUCAUCAUCACAGAGCUGGUCUGUGAUAUAGUGACCCAGGUAUUUAGUUUUGGAACAAACAUUUAACUUUUGCCCUGACAGAAAAAAAUCAGGGAAGCAAAGUUGUUUGUCUGCUUUAGUCCUACAUACUAGUACAACCGUUUUCUUAGCAUUAUACUGCACAUCAAAUCUCAACCCAUAAUCAGAACAGAUAUUCAGUAACUGCUGAAAACCAGCACUGCUGGGUGAGAGUACAGCCAGGUCAUCAGCAUACAUAAAGUCAUUGACCAGAUCUCCCAUUAAAUUGAA